AAAGCGUGCGCAGGCGGUUAUGCAAGACAGAUGUGAAAUCCCCGGGCUCAACCUGGGAACUGCAUUUGUGACUGCAUGGCUAGAGUACGGUAGAGGGGGAUGGAAUUCCGCGUGUAGCAGUGAAAUGCGUAGAUAUGCGGAGGAACACCGAUGGCGAAGGCAAUCCCCUGGACCUGUACUGACGCUCAUGCACGAAAGCGUGGGGAGCAAACAGGAUUAGAUACCCCUGU
rnacentral:rRNA from 1 species